GAUGAAGAACGUAGCAAAAUGCGAUAAGUAAUGUGAAUUGCAGAAUUCAGUGAAUCAUCGAAUCUUUGAACGCACAUUGCGCCCGCCAGUAUUCUGGCGGGCAUGCCUGUUCGAGCGUCAUUUCAACCCUCAAGCCCUCGGGUUUGGUGUUGGGGAUCGGCGAGCCUUUCUGGCAAGCCGGCCCCGAAAUCUAGUGGCGGUCUCGCUGCAGCCUCCAUUGCGUAGUAGCUAACACCUCGCGACUGGAGAGCGGCGCGGCCACGCCGUAAAACACCCAACUCUUCUGAAGUUGACCUCGAAUCAGGUAGGAAUACCCGCUGAACUUAAGCAUAUCAAUAAGCGGAGGA
rnacentral:misc_RNA from 1 species